rnacentral:rRNA from 1 species
GGACCAAGGAGUCUAGCAUGUGCGCGAGUCAUUGGGUCAAAUGUGAAACCUAAAGGCGAAAUGAAAGUAAAAGUUUACCUUGUGUAGACUUAGGGAAGAUGGGUAGCAUACUAUGCAACCCCGCAUUCCCGGGGCGUUCCGUACUCAUUGCGAGUUGGGGCGCACCUAGAGCGUACACGCUGGGACCC